rnacentral:rRNA from 1 species
AGAUUGAACGCUGGCGGCAGGCCUAACACAUGCAAGUCGAGCGGUAGAGAGGUGCUUGCAUCUCUUGAGAGCGGCGGACGGGUGAGUAAUGCCUAGGAAUCUGCCUAGUGGUGGGGGAAUAACGUUCGGAAACGGACGCUAAUACCGCAUACGUCCUACGGGAGAAAGCGGGGGACCUUCGGGCCUCGCGCCAUUAGAUGAGCCUAGGUCGGAUUAGCUAGUUGGUGAGGUAAUGGCUCACCAAGGCGACGAUCCGUAACUGGUCUGAGAGGAUGAUCAGUCACACUGGAACUGAGACACGGUCCAGACUCUACGGGAGCAGCAGUGGGGAAUAUUGGACAAUGGGACGAAAGCCUGAUCCAGCCAUCGCCGCGUGUGUGAAGAAGGUCUUCGGAAUUCGUAAAGCUAACUUUAAGUGGAAGGAAGGUUGUAGCCGUUAAAUACCGUUGACUAACCGUUUGAACGUUACCGAACUAGAAUAAGCGAACCGGCUAAACUCGU